GUCACUUUAUUCCUGCACCACGCGUAUCAAAACACAACGUAACGUAAUUAUCCCCCCUAAAAAAAAGAGGGGGAAGAGGAACGACACCGGAUUAACUCUUCUCUGUUCAUCAUGAACGAUCUCAUAAAUGACGAGGAACCGGCAAAGGCUCGCACAAUUACACUAGCGUGUCUUUCCUACUUUUAAUUAAAUCCUCCAUAAUUCAACUAAGAUCCUCUCUCGUCGGGAAGCGAAUGGCAAGCAAGACAGACACUGUCGUGGCGAGUUGUCGUUCAUGAAACGGCAUAAAUGAACGACCCGGUAUCGUUCAAGCAACGAAGAAAAGAGAGUAAAAAGAGAAAAGAAAGAAGGAGGGGAAAAAGGACGAGACGAAGAAAGGAGGAUCAAACAGACGAGCUUGUAAUCACAGUCACUACAGGGCUGACUCGCGCCUUGUUAAUUACACCGUGCCACGAGUUGUAAGCGUUUAGCCGGUGUCUUUUUAAAUUAACAGCGAGAAGUCGAGGUUAAAGAAGAGUCGCGUGGUGUUGAAUGUAAAGCGAUUCGAUUCAAGUUGAAAGAAGAAGCGGAUGAGCUAUGAGUUACGAGCAGGCUGCGCAGUUUCAUGCAAAUUUAUAUUUUAAUGAAUGCAAGUCAAGAGAUAGCAGUUAAAUAGAAAUUUAUUUUACACUCUAGAUGCUACAUAGUUUUAUCAUUUUCCAUGUUUUUUUUUAUAUUUGCGAGUGUUGUACGC
rnacentral:misc_RNA from 1 species